GGGCGGCGUGCUAAUACAGUGCAAGUCGAGCGAACAGAUAGGGAGCGUUGCGUCCUUUGACGUUAGACGGGCGAGACGGGUGAGUAACACGUGGUAUANACCUACCUAUAGAGACUGGGAUAACUUCGGGAAACCGGAGCUAAUACCGGAUAACAUAUUGAACCGCAUGGUUCAAUAGUGAAAGGCGGCUUUGCUGUCACUUAUAGAUGGAUCCGCGCCGUAUUAGCUAGUUGGUAAGGUAACGGCUUACCAAGGCAACGAUACGUAGCCGACCUGAGAGGGUGAUCGGCCACACUGGAACUGAGACACGGUCCAGACUCCUACGGGAGGCAGCAGUAGGGAAUCUUCCGCAAUGGGCGAAAGCCUGACGGAGCAACGCCGCGUGAGUGAUGAAGGUCUUCGGAUCGUAAAACUCUGUUAUCAGGGAAGAACAAAUGUGUAAGUAACUGUGCACAUCUUGACGGUACCUGAUCAGAAAGCCACGGCUAACUACGUGCCAG
rnacentral:rRNA from 1 species